rnacentral:rRNA from 1 species
UACAGAGACUGCAAGCGUUAUUCGGAUUCACUGGGCGUAAAGGGUGCGCAGGCGGCCAAGUGUGUGAGGCGUGAAAGCCCGAAGCUUAACUUCGGAAUUGCACCUCAAACUACAUGGCUAGAGCAUUGGAGAGGGUAGCGGAAUUCACGGUGUAGCAGUGAAAUGCGUAGAUAUCGUGAGGAACACCAGAGGCGAAGGCGGCUACCUGGACAAUUGCUGACGCUCGGGCACGAAAGCGUGGGGAGCAAAAGGG